GCGUUAAGGGUGGAAGCUUAGUCGUUAGGGCAUAUGGCUACUAACCUGAAGGUUGCGAGUUCAAUUCCCACCCUUUGCA